rnacentral:rRNA from 1 species
UACGUAGGGUGCGAGCGUUGUCCGGAUUUAUUGGGCGUAAAGAGCGUGUAGGCGGCCUGAAAGGUCAGCUGUGAAAACUCGAGGCUCAACCUCGAGACGUCGGUUGAAACCAUCUGGCUAGAGUCCGGAAGAGGAGUGUGGAAUUCCCGGUGUAGCGGUGAAAUGCGCAGAUAUCGGGAAGAACACCCGUGGCGAAGGCGGCACUCUGGGACGGUACUGACGCUGAGACGCGAAAGCGUGGGGAGCGAACAGG